GCCGGGGUGGCCGAACCAGGUUAAGGCGCCAGUCUCGAGAACUGGUGGGCUUUUGCCCGUCUGGGUUCAAAUCCCAGCCCCGGCG
rnacentral:tRNA from 1 species